rfam:Bacteroidetes bacterium 4484_249 ex4484_259_scaffold_20808, whole genome shotgun sequence.
GGUUUUGAACCACCGACAGGGGCUGUUCGGGAGUACCUGUCAAACCGCCCUACGGUGCUUUUGUCCAAUGACAGAGGUGUUGAGCGGAUAGGGAAAAGGGACGAUGAGAGAAGCGUUUCAGGU